AUGAAACCUGUAAAAUGUUAACCUUGGGUAAACUUCAAAAGAGGCUCAGACAGAGCAUUCAUAUGACAGGAAACAUCACUCUUGGACCAGAAAACAAUUUAGCUUCUGAGACUCUCGAUACCCAAGUGAAAAUGAGUGUGGUUUCAGAUGCCAGAUUGCCUGGGUUCAACCCCAACUGCUGUCCUUUUUGGUGCUGUAACUGUAAGCAAGGGAACUUCUUUGUUUCAACCACUUUAUUAACAAAGUGAGGAGAUCGACAGAAGAAAACCUGCCUCACACAAAUGCGCAUGACCAGCAGGACAAGCAGAUGGCCUCCAGGAAGCCCAAGACUAAGGACAACCAGAGCUUGACCCAACUUAUGUGGAUCACUGCCCAUAAAAAUGGACUUUUGGAUUAAGGAAAUGGACGUUAGGCCAAUGCCCACUCACUUUCUAAAAUGAAACAAAACUGAAUCUACUCAAAAGUGCUAUGUGGAUUUUAAAAAUGUACUUCUCAUACACAAGGUGUCUAAAUCUGAGAGCAAAUAAUCCUGUCCCAGGGUUUUUUGAAAGAAUCCUACACAGCAAGAAGGCCAGCGAUGGUGACUCUAAACUCUCUAGGAAGAAAAACAGUGAAAAUUUAAUCCCCAAUACCAAAAAAAAAAAAGGAGAGAGAGAGAGAAAGAAAAACAGUGAAAAAAGGCUAACAGAGCUCUUAAGUGUCCAGUCCUAGAUACAAUCAGUGAGCACUUAAAUCUGCUUUAUAUCAGGUUCCAUGUUGGAUUUCCUUUGAAUAAAUAUUUACAUAAUGAUGAGAGACAACAGAACUCUUAGCACCUCAGCAACAGUAUGAGUAGGGCUAAGAGGCAGCCCAAGUCUAGUCUGAUUCUCCUGCGGACUAAAAACGUUACAUAUGUCUAUCUCAGUCACCUGCUUUUAUAAAACAAAGACAAAACUGACAAUAAGCAUUAACAGAUUAUGAAAGGAAUAAAUGAUUUAUAGAAUAUACUACAACUCCCUCUCCUACUCAAAAAAUGAAAACCUAGAUUGUUCCAGGUAAUGGAGAAACUUCGACAAGGACUACUAUAACAACAGAACACUGAGAAAUGAAUUCUUAGAAACUUCCAAAUGCAGAAACCUGCUUUGGCAUAAAUUACUUCAAACACUAUGCUUCAUGAGUGAAAACACUACAAUUACUGUCAAAAGAACCAUUUGAACAGAAGUAGCUGAACAUCACUGCUGCUAUUAUAACUAGUAAAAAAGUUACAGAUUUCUAUGGCAUGUUUGAUUGGCUUUGGUUUUCCAGAUUUGAGAUUCCUGCCAUGUAAAAAUAGUUUCUCAAACAGGAUUCAGAGCAGGAAUCUACAAGAGCAGAGCAUCAAUAAAAAAGAAAACUGAAUUUGAAAAAAGAAGUAAAAAGAUAUGAAUAAAAAACAGACUGAAUAAUCUAACUCUGUGUAAUUGUUGGUUAUAGAAAAGCAGUUGUCUCUAUUAAAAAUAGAGAAAUGUCACUUGAAGAAAAAAGAUGAAAGUAGCAGAUGGCACAAGAUUCCAAAACCUAGUACAUAAACACCACUUAUGAUCAUCCUCCCAUGAAAAAUACUGAGUGGCUAGGAUGUGACUGUCUUAUUACAUUCAGAACGCUUACGUCUUUAUCUACUUUGAAGCAGAAUGAAAUGGUAAAGUAUGGGUAUAAAACAACAGCAAUUCAAUAAGUGGGAGGGAGGAUACUAGAGCUAAAAUGAAGUUAAUAAGAAAACUCUAAAAUAGUGGAGAUUUUGUACUCCAGAAACAUUGCUUAAAUGUUGAGGCAUGUGAAGGAAUUUCUGGGGUUAAUGCCAACAAAUCAUCUACUUCGUACAAUGAAGCCUGGCACUAGGAAAUAAGCCCGUAUCUCUGCACAGCAGUCUGAGUUACGUGGACAUAGAGGGUGCAACACUGAAGACUUAUAACUCAACUUUCUGUAACGAACUUCUUCCCAAAUAUUUUAUAAAUUAGAAGUGAGAAUCAUUUGUGCUAGUUGUAACUGACAUGAGAAAAUACAGACUGCAAAUUGAUUUAAGGUUACUUCAAAAUUAUGCCUUUAUGAUAAACCUUGGUAAAUACUAGUUAUCAGCAGUACUUGUUCCCUUAAAGUUGAUGUGUUUUCUUAAAUUAUUAUGAAUCUAGAAAUUAUAUGCAGGUUGAAGGUCUGUAAUUUUCAUAACUGUGUAAUUUGUGUCUAUAACAGGAAAACAGUGUUUAACACUACACUAAAUUAAAACAAAGAUUUAUAAGACCGGUA